rnacentral:rRNA from 1 species
CCUACGGGAGGCAGCAGUGAGGAAUAUUGGUCAAUGGGCGCGAGCCUGAACCAGCCAAGUAGCGUGAAGGAUGACUGCCCUACGGGUUGUAAACUUCUUUUAUAAAGGAAUAAAGUGAGGCACGUGUGCCGUCUUGUAUGGACUUUAUGAAUAAGGAUCGGCUAACUCCGUGCCAGCAGCCGCGGUAAAACGGAGGUUCGGAGCGGUUACCGGGUUUAUUGGGUUUAAAGGGAGGGGAAAUGGGGUGUUAAGGCAGUUGUGAAAGUUUGCGGCUCAACCGUAAGAUUGCAAUUGAUACUGGCAGCCUUGAGUGCAGGAGAGGUAAAGGGAAUGCCUGGUGUAGCGGUGAAAUGCUUAGAUAUCAGGAGGAACAUCGGUGGCGUAGGCGCUUUACUGGGCCGUAAUUGACGCUGAGGAACGAAAGCCAGGGUAGCAAAUAGGAUUAGAUACCCUAGUAGUC